GACGAACCGUCCAAACGUUGUUCGGAAUCACUGGGCUUAAAGGGCGCGUAGGCGGGUGAGCAAGUCUAUGGUGAAAUCCUCCGGCUUAACCGGAGAACUGCCGUGGAUACUGCCCAUCUCGAGGAGGAUAGGGGCAUCUGGAACUAGCGGUGGAGCGGUGAAAUGCGUUGAUAUCGGAGGAACACCAGUGGCGAAGGCGACUACCUGGCCUGUAACUGACGCUGAGACGCGAAAGCGUGGGGAGCAAACCGG
rnacentral:rRNA from 1 species